rnacentral:tRNA from 1 species
AAAGUACUAGUAAAGACAUUACACCGCCUUGUCAAGGCGGAGUCGUAGGUUAGACCCCUGCGUACUUUA